ACGUGGAUCAAUCAAUUGUAUCGAAAUGCAAUACUCGAUCUUUCAUUCAAUUAAGAAGGUAUGCAAAGAUGUUCCCAAAUAUUUUUAUAAUAAAUUAAUACUGUAUUGAUUAUAAAUUAAUUUUAUAAAAAUAGUGACAUUUUAUUUUAUAUUAUAAGAAUAACUACAACCACUAUUAUUUCCAUCUACGUUACUAUUCUGCAGGAAGCAGUGAAUGACUGCAUGCGGUCCUCAUUAAGUAGUAAUCUGGGGACAUAUAUAUACAUUAGUUGUCUAGCUUCAUUAGUUGUCUAGCUUCAUUAGUUGUCUGCACGUAUAUAUAUUCUAAAUUCGGAUUCACUAUAACAUAAAAAAAAAUCUGUAUAUUAUAACAUAUUUUUGUUAAUGAAGUCAAAUUAUGAACUUUCGAAUUUAACAGAAUUCCAUCACCCUCUAAUACUUUCAUAUAACAUAUUGAAAAUAUGUUGAUAAAUAUGUUUGAUUUGGUCAUAUUAAGAAUAUAUAAUAAUCAUUAGCAUGUCAUAAACGUUUACAAUCAAGGCAUUUGUUUAUUAAGUACAGUAAGUAGUAUGUACAAAUAAUUAAUUCAAUAGGGUUAUUGUGUUGGAUAUGCAGCAUCUGGUUAAGGCAGGAAUAAUACGUCAUUGUGUCCUUCCGUUGCAUGCAAUCGACAGACACCUAAGUAGCGAGAUUAGUAUUUUAAUCUUGUAAAUACUCAAUCGAACAAAAGGAGUUUGACUCUGACUUUUAACUAGGAGUCUAGGAAUAUUUAUCCUAUUCUCGCCACAAUAUUCACGACGAGGUGGACUCCCUCCACCCCUCUUAUUUCCUACUCUUUGUUUUUCCUAAUUUUAGUCUCUCCAGCGAUAUCGGCUAAAAAUAAAUUUUAAUGAUAUUAUAUAUUCUCUUUUAUAAAUAAAUUUUUGUAAGUAAGUAAAUCAGUGUAAAGUUUAGUCACAUCCCAGUGAAAUCGGUUUAAAUAAAUUUAAUUAUCUUGCAUGUUUAGCCACUCAAAUUUUAGUUAUAAAUAAAUUUUUUGAAUUAUACACAUGCGAAGUUUAAGACUUUUAAGGCCAGUAUAUUAUAAACGAAAGAACAUCCUUUCGUUAAAAUAUUAUUAUUUACCCGAUACGCUGUUACUAUUUCUUUUUCUUUCCUUAUAUCGUAUACUAAAUUACCAGUAUAUAUAUAUAUGUUAAUAUCUUUUUUCCAGAGAUGUAUAUAUUUAAGUUUUUUAUUAGAAGAGUUUAUAUUUAAGUUUGGGAGAUUCUGUAUGGUACACUCGUGUAAUUAGCUUUUCUCGUUGGUACAAACUACAUUUCACGCAUGGUACCUUCCAGGUAUAAAAUUUUUUCCAGCAAUGCACUUCUGUUAGGCUAAAUGUUAGUCAGCUGUGUUAAUUUUCAGAUCAUCCGUUAUUUAUGAUAAAUAUCGCGAGAUCAUGCUACUUUUUAGUGUGACAACGCCAAACUCAGUAAAUAUGUUGAUCAACAACAAUAUCUUCCCUUCUCAUUUUAACAAAAACUAACGACGCUUUCUCAAAAUCACCAUUUUUACUAUUCCCAUCGAUCAUUCAUCACCACUAAACCUAUUCACAAAUAAUUCAAACCACUAAACCUACUCACAAAUAAUUCAUCACUAAACCCACUUUUCGGUGCAAUAAAAUGUACUUGUUCCCUCAUUCCUACCAACUCAACAACACAACAAGAUUUGCUCCCCCAUUCCUAACAACACAACAAGCAUAUACGACACUCGAAAACGCAAACUCAUUCCCCAUCAUUUCUCUAAAAGUGAUAAUUGCGUCCAUAUAUGUCAAAUUCUGAGAAAACCCAGAUAUAAAAGCUAUCUAGGAAACCAAGUUUGUUGAGGUAUUUUGUCGAACACCUUGACUACAUAGACCAAAUUGUCACAUUUAUAGUACAUUGUGAGAAUAUGAUAGCUAAGGAAUAUGCAUAGUUUCAUAAGUCAUAACAGAGCUCAAACGGAGCACAUAGACGCAACGGCGUUUCACCGUAAAGAAAUUAAAAACACGAGGUGAGGAAAGAGGAGGAUAAGAGCAGAACGGAGAAGAAAAU
rnacentral:lncRNA from 1 species